ACCCGCGUACAUGCCACCGGGGCAUCCCGGAGGCAGGAAAGGUUUCGGCCGGACAGGGAUGGGCAUGCGGCGCAUUAGGCAGUAGGCGGGGUAACGGCCCACCUAACCGACGAUGCGUAGGGGUUCUGAGAGGAAGGUCCCCCACACUGGUACUGAGACACGGACCAGACUCCUACGGGAGGCAGCAGUGAGGAAUAUUGGUCAAUGGUCGGGAGACUGAACCAGCCAAGCCGCGUGAGGGAUGAAGGUACAGAGUAUCGUAAACCUCUUUUGUCAGGGAACAAAGGCGGGGACGUGUCCCCGGAUGAGUGUACCUGAAGAAAAAGCAUCGGCUAACUCCGUGCCAGCAGCCGCGGUAAUACGGAGGAUGCGAGCGUUAUCCGGAUUUAUUGGGUUUAAAGGGUGCGCAGGCGGUCUGUUAAGUCAGCGGUCAAAGCCCGGGGCUCAACCCCGGCCCGCCGUUGAAACUGGCAGUCUCGAGUUGGAGAGAAGUAUGCGGAAUGCGCGGUGUAGCGGUGAAAUGCAUAGAUAUCGCGCAGAACUCCGAUUGCGAAGGCAGCAUGCCGGCUCCACACUGACGCUGAGGCACGAAAGCGUGGGUAUCGAACAGGAUUAGAUACCCUGGUAGUCCACGCAGUAAACGAU
rnacentral:rRNA from 1 species